AUGCUGACAUAAGUAACGAUAAAGCGGGUGAAAAGCCCGCUCGCCGGAAGACCAAGGGUUCCUGUCCAACGUUAAUCGGGGCAGGGUGAGUCGACCCCUAAGGCGAGGCCGAAAGGCGUAGUCGAUGGGAAACAGGUUAAUAUUCCUGUACUUGGUGUUACUGCGAAGGGGGGACGGAGAAGGCUAUGUUGGCCGGGCGACGGUUGUCCCGGUUUAAGCGUGUAGGCUGGUUUUCCAGGCAAAUCCGGAAAAUCAAGGCUGAGGCGUGAUGACGAGGCACUACGGUGCUGAAGCAACAAAUGCCCUGCUUCCAGGAAAAGCCUCUAAGCAUCAGGUAACAUCAAAUCGUACCCCAAACCGACACAGGUGGUCAGGUAGAGAAUACCAAGGCGCUUGAGAGAACUCGGGUGAAGGAACUAGGCAAAAUGGUGCCGUAACUUCGGGAGAAGGCACGCUGAUAUGUAGGUGAAGUCCCUCGCGGAUGGAGCUGAAAUCAGUCGAAGAUACCAGCUGGCUGCAACUGUUUAUUAAAAACACAGCACUGUGCAAACAC
rnacentral:rRNA from 1 species